GAUGAACGCUGGCGGCGUGCCUAAUACAUGCAAGUCGAGCGAGCGGCGGACGGGUGAGUAACACGUGAUAACCUACCUAUAAGACUGGGAUAACUUCGGGAAACCGGAGCUAAUACCGUCUUCUUAUAGAUGGAUCCCCGCUGCAUUAGCUAGUAGGUUGGGUAAAGGCCCACCUAGGCGACGAUCUCUAGCUGGUCUGCGAGGAUGCUCAGCCACACGGGGACUGGGACACGGCCCAGACUCCUCCGGGAGGCAGCAGUGGGGAAUAUUGCACAAUGGGCGCAAGCCUGAUGCAGCCAUGCCGCGUGUAUGAAGAAGGCCUUAGGGUUGUAAAGUACUUUCAGCGGGGAGGCGUUACCCGCAGAAGAAGCACCGGCUCACUCCGUGCCAGCAGCCGCGGUAAUAC
rnacentral:rRNA from 1 species